GCCUGGUCGUACUUAUAUCCGCAUCAGGUCUCCAAGGUGAACAGCCUCUGGUCAAUGGAACAAUGUAGGCAAGGGAAGUUGGAAAAAUGGAUCCGUAACCUCAGGAAAAGGAUUGGCUCUGAGGGCUGGGCACGGGGAAGGCUCCCGAGGG